rnacentral:tRNA from 1 species
AGGGGAAUGAUGCAAUGGCUAGCCUGGCGGUCUCCAAAACCGUUCAUGGGGGUUCGAAUCCCUCUUCCCCUG